rnacentral:rRNA from 1 species
CAAGUCGAACGGCAGCACGGGUGCUUGCACCUGGUGGCGAGUGGCGGACGGGUGAGUAAUACAUCGGAACGUAUCUUAAAGUGGGGGAUAACGCAUCGAAAGAUGUGCUAAUACCGCAUACACUCUGAGGAGGAAAGUAGGGGAUCGAAAGACCUUAUGCUUUUGGAGCGGCCGAUGUCUGAUUAGCUAGUUGGUAAGGUAAUGGCUUACCAAGGCAACGAUCAGUAGUUGGUCUGAGAGGACGACCAGCCACACUGGGACUGAGACACGGCCCAGACUCCUACGGGAGGCAGCAGUGGGGAAUUUUGGACAAUGGGCGCAAGCCUGAUCCAGCAAUGCCGCGUGAGUGAAGAAGGCCUUCGGGUUGUAAAGCUCUUUCAGUUGAGAAGAAAAGAUUGUGACUAAUAAUUGCAAUUCAUGACGGUAUCAACAGAAGAAGCACCGGCUAACUACGUGCCAGCAGCCGCGGUAAUACGUANGGUGCGAGCGUUAAUCGGAAUUACUGGGCGUAAAGGGUGCGCAGGCGGUUCUGUAAGUCAGAUGUGAAAUCCCCGGGCUUAACCUGGGAACUGCGUUUGAAACUACAGAGCUAGAGUGUGGCAGAGGGGGUGGAAUUCCAUGUGUAGCAGUGAAAUGCGUAGAG